ACACCGGCAGCUCAAGUGGUAGCCGCUUUUAUUGGGCCUAAAGCGUCCGUAGCCGGUCUGAUAAGUCUCUGGUGAAAUCCCACAGCUUAACUGUGGGAAUUGCUGGAGAUACUAUCAUGACUCGAGGUCGGGAGAGGCUGGAGGUACUCCCAGGGUAGGGGUGAAAUCCUGUAAUCCUGGGAGGACCACCUGUGGCGAAGGCGUCCAGCUGGAACGAACCUGACGGGGAGGGACGAAAGCCAGGGGCGCGAGCCGGAUUAGAUACCCGGGUAGUCCUGGCCGUAAACGAUGUGGACUUGGUGUUGGGAUGGCUUCGAGCUGCCCCAGUGCCGAAGGGAAGCUGUUAAGUCCACCGCCUGGGAAGUACGGCCGCAAGGCUGAAACUUAAAGGAAUUGACGGGG
rnacentral:rRNA from 1 species